UACGUAGGGGGCGAGCGUUGUCCGGAGUUACUGGGCGUAAAGCGCCUGUAGGCGGUCCACCAAGUUUGGGGUGACAGUUGCCGACUUAAUCGGCAAAGUGCCUCAAAGACUGGCGGACUUGAGGGCCACAGAGGGACAUGGAACUCCAGGUGUAGUGGUGAAAUGCGUAGAUAUCAUUUGGAACGCCAAUGGUGAAAACAGGUAACUGGGGCUGUGCUGACGCUGAGACACGAAAGCCAGGGGAGCGAACGGG
rnacentral:rRNA from 1 species